rnacentral:rRNA from 1 species
CGUAAACGAUGUCGACUUGGAGGUUGUGCCCUUGAGGCGUGGCUUCCGGAGCUAACGCGUUAAGUCGACCGCCUGGGGAGUACGGCCGCAAGGUUAAAACUCAAAUGAAUUGACGGGGGCCCGCACAAGCGGUGGAGCAUGUGGUUUAAUUCGAUGCAACGCGAAGAACCUUACCUGGUCUUGACAUCCACGGAAGUUUUCAGAGAUGAGAAUGUGCCUUCGGGAACCGUGAGACAGGUGCUGCAUGGCUGUCGUCAGCUCGUGUUGUGAAAUGUUGGGUUAAGUCCCGCAACGAGCGCAACCCUUAUCCUUUGUUGCCAGCGGUCCGGCCGGGAACUCAAAGGAGACUGCCAGUGAUAAACUGGAGGAAGGUGGGGAUGACGUCAAGUCAUCAUGGCCCUUACGACCAGGGCUACACACGUGCUACAAUGGCGCAUACAAAGAGAAGCGACCUCGCGAGAGCAAGCGGACCUCAUAAAGUGCGUCGUAGUCCGGAUUGGAGUCUGCAACUCGACUCCAUGAAGUCGGAAUCGCUAGUAAUCGUGGAUCAGAAUGCCACG